rnacentral:tRNA from 1 species
GGGGAUUAGCUCAGUUGGCUAGAGCGCCUGAUUUGCAUUCAGGAGGUCAAGGGUUCGACUCCCUUAUUCUCC